rnacentral:rRNA from 1 species
CCUACGGGAGGCAGCAGUGGGGAAUAUUGCGCAAUGGGCGAAAGCCUGACGCAGCGACGCCGCGUGAGGGAUGAAGGUCUUCGGAUCGUAAACCUCUGUCAGCAGGGAAGAACGGUCACUGUGCUAAUCAGCAGUGAAUUGACGGUACCUGCAAAGGAAGCACCGGCUAACUCCGUGCCAGCAGCCGCGGUAAUACGGAGGGUGCGAGCGUUAAUCGGAAUUACUGGGCGUAAAGCGCUCGUAGGCGGUAUGUCAAGUCAAGGGUGAAAUCCCCGCGCUCAACGUGGGAACUGCCUUUGAAACUGGCAAAGUGGAGUGUGGGAGAGGAUAGUGGAAUUGCAGGUGUAGGAGGUAAAUCCGU